UUGUCGCCAGCGUGAACUCCAGUGUCCUGUGUUUGGAAUGGACCCCCAAAUCUGCCCCGGCCUAGGUCGCACCCGUCUCCGUUUAGACUACUUUGUUUUUGUAUCACUUUCUCCUCCUUUUUAUCUUGGAGUCCCUUUGGUCCGUCCCUGUGUCUUCGCUCUCAGAUAUCCGAGUUUCUCAGAUGCUCAGCUCAGGGGAGAAAAUUGUAUGCGGAAUUAAGUCCUUCCUUCUUUAGGCAGUUGGAUGGGUGGGACCAAAAGUCACUUGGUGUCCCGACCAGAUUCGUUACUGUUGCUAAAAUCGUCAGCUCUAAUGCUUUGAGAGAGAUAACUUCCUGCAAACCCAGAACUUUCGGAUUACUUCCGAGCUUGAAGAUCAUGCCACGUGAAGAUGAAGGCAGAUGUUGGAUUGAUACUUCUUUAAGCCAAGGAACUCCAAGAUGGCAGGCAUAUCAUCAGAAGCUAUGAGAAAGGCAUGAAACAGAUCUUUCCCUGACAGCCCUCAGAAGAUUGCAGACAUAGUACUGGUGAGCUACCUCAGCCUUUGUGGAUGAAGACAACUGAAGGGCCCCUGGCUAGCUCAGUCAGAAGAGCAUGUGACUUGAUCUCAGGUCUGCAAGUCCAAUCCCCACACUGGACCUAGAGCUUACCCAAAGAAGAAAGGACAACUGAAGCAGUUGCUUUUUACUCUGGUGUUAAUUAGAAUCCAUACACUGAGGCUAAUAGAGACACAUUGUCAACUGGGUCCUUGGAUGAA